rnacentral:misc_RNA from 1 species
UAAAAAAUAUCGUAAGUGACGUUUUUUCCGUAACUAUACUGAACAACAGUGUGUUGGUAGUGCAUUAUAUGGCCGUUUUUUUCUUUGGUGCCUUUUAAAUCCUACUUUUGAUAAUAAACGAAAAUGGGUCUUUUAUGGAGUGCAUAUGUUACACAUCCCGAUACAAUGCCAGAAGCAGAAACUGCACCGAAAUUUAAUUCGUUGUACGGAUUUGAAAAUGGUCGAAAAGAGAGAGUUAUGCUAGCCUCGGAGACAGAAAUGAGGGCAGCGAAAUUACCAAAAAAAUACAGAGAUUAUUGUGCGCAUAAACUUCUUGAAUUGGAAGACUGUAAAAAAUAUAAUUUUCCUAUGAUAAGAAGAUGCGGUCAUCAGAUGCAUGAAUGGGAAAAAUGCCAAUACGAAGAUUAUGUCAUGCGAAUGAAGGAGUUUGAAAGAGAACGCAGGCUUUUAGAAAGACAGAAGAGAAAGCAACAAGCAGCCGCUGCUUGAACAAACUGCCUCGUAGAUCUAUAGGAAUUUUAAACAUUAAUUGCUCGCAAUUUAGAAUUUGCAAUCGUGGACGACGUUUCGUAGCAGUUAUAAAAUAAAGAGGAUACGAGCGAAGAUUGGAAAGAUGAUGAUAUUGUAGUCGGCAUCCAAAAAAAAAAAACCAGGAAAUACAUAUUUACAAAAAAUUUUGCUCGUGGACAUAGGAUGAUUUAGAUAUAUAUAAUAUAUUAUUAUUAACACGUUCCGUGCCAUGUGCAUCACCGGUGGUACACGUAGUCAUAUUUAUUUAAUGCGCUAAACAUCAAACGGCUUGGCACGGAACGUGUUAAUAUUAAUGAAAUAAAUAAUAUACAAUAAUAUACUUAUUGCUUGAACAUAAUUUAAAUCUCAGUUCUCGUUACGUGAUCUUAUUAAUGGUCUCUCGAGAUUAUCGAUUAAAGUAAAGGCAAAGCUCGUUUAAAAAGUUCGUUCGUUUUUAAUCAACAUUAUCGGGGGAUUACCAAAAUUCCUAUAAUAUCGAAAACAAAAGAACUAUUUUUCUAAAAUAGCGAUCGCUGUAGGCUUUUUAUGCAUUGUUACGUCUUUAUUACACUUUAGUAAAAAGAAAAAAGUCAAAGAUAUCAAAUAAAUUGAUUAUACGAAACUA